AGUUCACAUAAACUCUUCUCUCUGAUGCAGCUGUCUGUCAUCCUUCAUUUAGCAUUCAAACUGUCACAUUCAGUUACGACAGUCAAGACAAUGAAACUCUCUCCAAGAGCGCGCAGUAACUGAAUUCUAAAACUGUUUUCUAUUUACUUGUUUUCAUUAAUGUAUUUUACAACUAUACAAAGAGCAAUGUGUAACAUUUUACCAGCGUCUCUCCCCUCUAAACCUUGCCGCGCCACUGCAAACUUCGCCGACAAGGCUUUCAAAGCAGCGGGCAAAGCAGCUUCAACACUGCACAUGAUGGCAAUUGUAACCAAGGUUACCAGUGGAGUAACAGAAAAAAUAUUGUUAUUAAUAUAACAAUAUAAUAAUGGGAGAGUUAUUAAAAAGUAUUCAAAAUUAGUAAUUUUAUAAAAGAAAAAUAUUACUUUCAUAUACAAAUAUACAAACGUAUAUUUUCAUUUGGGUAAUACUAUGACCAAUGGUGAUGAGUUUUGAACUUGAGACGAGCCAAUACGAACGCAGGAUCUGGCGCUGCGGAAGAAUUGAUUUCCGGGUUUUGCACGAGGUAUAUGCGUGAAGUUAAGUGGCAACUCUCUCUGGCGUGCACUGAUGCCUGAUGAGCUCUGUGUCUCGAUGCUCCGGGAAACAGAAAUAUAGAAAAUAGCCUUAUAGAUGAGUUUGGUCGAUGGAUUGAUGGUAAAGGGAGCGAUUGUAAUGGGGCGUGCUGUGCCUGCACCAUUCUGGAAUUUUCUGAGUUAAACGAUCUCCUUGGUCAGGUUUUUUUUUUUUUUCUUCUGUUGUUCUGUCUUUUCCAAAUUCGCUGUGUAUACUGGAUCUGUCCUGGCCUUCCAGUGGUUCUGAGGAGGGUUUGGACUGGCGAGCCUCCCUUGAGUUUGUUCUUGGAUCUUUCUGUUGAAGAAGUAUUCGCACUGAUUGAACUGCGAAUGGUAGGAAAAGGACUAACUUUCCUCAUCUUUUAUUUUUUUUCCGGAUGGAGACCUUUUUCAUUACCAACAGGACAAUUAUUUAUUUUUUUAUUUUUAUUUUUUUUCUAAAAACUUUUCAAAGCACUCUUUCACAAGGACUGCAAUUCUGAUUGGAUUUCAUCGUAAAAAAAAAAAGAAACAUUUGUUGUGCAAUUGGGUUGUAUGUUGUUUAUUUAGGAUUUACCCUGUUGAAACCCAAAGAAAAAAAUUGAGACCUAAAGUGUUGAGAUCUUACAUUCUGGUUGAAAAGGAAACACAUUUUAUUUCAUUUCAUUUUAUUUGUUAUCAACCAAUGUAAUUCACCUGUUGUCAUUCACCUGAAAAUACAGUGUGUGUUCAAAAGAGUAUUCACUGUUGUUGUGGCAUCUUUCUCAGCAGCGAAUCUGUUUCUUCUGAAACGCUGGUCCAUAGAUUUCAUUAGGUUAAUAGCCAGAGAGUAAGCGCUACACAAUACUCCAGGUGUAUCAGGCCAAGCUGCCCAAGUCUCUAAAUGAGGAUGUGCCGGACCCUGAAGUGUUCAAAGAGCUCAGACGUGCCACGGAUCUGGCCCUCAGAGAGACGAAAGUGACAGCUCGAACAAUUGGCCGCAACAUGGGGAAUCUUGUGGCGCUAGAUCGUCACCUGUGGCUAACUGUGACCGAGUUAAAGGACACGGAAAAAUCAGCCCUUCUGGACGCUCCCGUGAAUCCAUCAGGUCUCUUCGGAGCAGCGGCAGAAACAGUCGAAGGCUAUUAGCCGCUUCCUGCCAAAGCGCGCCGGCACUCACUCUCACACCGUGUGGUAUUAAACUCCCCACCCCCCAACUGAGAGUGGGUUAUGAAAUCAAUAAAGAAUGGCUACAUGUUUCAGUUCUUCCGCAGGCCGGCCCGUUUCGACGGUGUGUUUUUGUCCACUGUACGGGAGCAGAAUGCCUCAGUUCUGCAAGAGGAAAUAUACAACCUCUUUGCAAAACGCGCUGUAGAGACAGUGCCCCUAGCAGACCAUGAGAGCGGCUUCUACAGUCACUAUUUUCUGGUACCAAAGAAAGACAGUGGACUCCACCCAAUCUUGGCCCUGAGAGCGUUGAUUCACAAGCGUUGAUUCACAAGCACAUUCAAAAUAAUAACGCUGAGACAAAUCCUCUCACACAUCAAACUGAGAGAUUGGUUUAUCUCUGUGGAUUUAAAACUUAUGCUUAUUUUCACAUUCAGGUAGCCCCUCGCCACAGGCAUUUCCGGAGAUUUGCAUUCGAGGGGAUAGCGUACCAAUUCACAGUCCUACCCUCUGGUUUAUCCCUGGCCCCUCGUACGUUUACAAAAUGCAUGGAUGCCGCUCUCUGUCCUCUGAAGCAGAGCGGAAUGCACAUCCUGAACUAUCUCGACGAUUGGCUAGUCUUAGCCCAAUCAGAAAGUGUGCUGCUCGGCGACAAGCUCAGAGUCCUGGCUCAUCUUCAGAGCUUUUAGGGCUGAAUGUGAAUUUGCAAAAGAGCAUGCUGGUACCGAGCCAGAACGUCUCCCUUUUAGGAGUGGAGCUGAAUUCAAUCAAUAUGCGAGCAUUUCUGUCGGAAGAGUGCUCACAAAAACUGAUCAGCCCUCUUGCAGUCUUAAAGUUAGGGCACUCUCCCCCGCUGAAAUGCUUUCAGAGGAUGCUCGGCCAUAUGUGACCGCUUCAGCUCUGGCUAAAGGGCUGGGUGCCACAGAGCGCAUAGCGCAUGGGCACCUUGCAUAUCAAAGUGACGCUCGACUGCUGGGAUGCACUGACCCCUUGGCGCAAUAUGACUCUGUAUUGCCAGGGUGUUCUUAUUGGCCAAGUGAUCAGGAGAAAGACUGUUACAACAGAUGCAUCGAGCACAGACUUUCUCCCAGACAUUCUCCACCAUCACGUUCUCAUCAGGACGGACAGCAUGACAAUAGUAGCAUCUAUAAAUCACCAAGGGGGCGUAAGCUCGCGGCCGCUGCUGUGGCUGGCAAAAGAACUUCUUCUGUGGGCAGAUCUACACCUCCUCUCCAUCAGGGCAGUACAUGUCCUCAGAUGCCUGAAUUACGGCACGGACUUACUGUCGUGGGGCGGGGUAAUCCACAGGGAGUGCAGAUUACACCCUUUUAAAGUCAAUAUGUGUCAAUAUGUAUUUGGCAGGGCGGAGGUGGAUCUCUUCGCAUCAGCAGAGAACACUCACUGCCCGCCGUUUCAUUCACUGACCCACUCUCCACUGGGAGUGGAUGCACUAGCUCAUAGCUGGCCGAAAGUACACAAGUAGGCUUUUCCUCAAGUGAAACUUCUGCCUCGCGUGUUUAGCCAAAUCAGAGAGGAAAGGAAAUCUGUUCUGUUAGUGGCACUGAAGUGCCCCCCCCCCCCCCCCCCCCCCCCCCCCCCCC